rnacentral:snRNA from 1 species
GGAGAGGAAGUAUUAGGGAGGUACUCACUGCAAACUCUAGUAUUCGGCUGAUCUGGCUGGCUAGGCGGGUGUCCCCUUCCUCCCUCACCACUCCAUGUGCGUCCCUCCCGAAGCUGCGCGCUCGGUCGAAGAGGAAGGCCUUCCCCGAAUAGAGACGGACCGGUCUUCGGUCGAGGGUAUACGAGUGGCUGCGCUCCCCUGCUAGAACCUCCAAACAAGCUCUCAUUUAUUAGGUAUUUAUUGAGCCUCUACUAAGAACCAGCUAAUCAGAUUCACCUGGUUUCU